rnacentral:tRNA from 1 species
CAGAGAGUAGUUUAAAUAAAAUAUUAGUUUUGGGGACUAAUGAUAUGGGGAUUCUCUUUUCUCUGA